AGCUGAGAUAGGAGAGCUGCUUUACAGCAGACUCUCACAUGUCCCUCCUCUGGCUUUUGAGGAAGCAUUAGGGCAUGCUCUGCAGUACCUGUGCUGGCACUGCAAAGUCGACCCAGAGCUGGUGAUUGUUUUACUUGUGAUCAUUCACAGAGAAGAUCCUGGGACAGUGUUUUGCCAGAAUUUAGCUACACUUAUUGUCCCUGCUAGAGUUUUCAGAAAGUCCAGUUAUGUCACGCUGCAAGAAUCUCAGCUUUUCCCACAUGCUCACGCUCACUGGUCCAC